AUUGAACGCUGGCGGCAUGCUUUACACAUGCAAGUCGAACGGCAGCGGGGAGGAGCUUGCUUCUCUGCCGGCGAGUGGCGAACGGGUGAGUAAUACAUCGGAACGUGUCGAGAAGAGGGGGAUAACCACCCGAAAGGGUGGCUAAUACCGCAUAAAUUCUGAGGAAGAAAGCUGGGGACCUAGGAAUAGGCCUAGCGCUUUUUAGGCGGCGGAUGUCGGAUUAGCUAGUUGGUGAGGUAAAGGCUCACCAAGGCGAAGAUCUGUAGCGGGUCUGAGAGGAUGAUCCGCCACACUGGGACUGAGACACGGCCCAGACUCCUACGGGAGGCAGCAGUGGGGAAUUUUGGACAAUGGGGGCAACCCUGAUCCAGCCAUGCCGCGUGUAUGAAGAAGGCCUUAGGGUUGUAAAGUACUUUUGUUAGGGAAGAAAAGUCAGCUGUGAAUAAUGGCUGAUACUGACGGUACCUAAAGAAUAAGCACCGGCUAACUACGUG
rnacentral:rRNA from 1 species